ensembl:lncRNA LINC02686 long intergenic non-protein coding RNA 2686
GAGUUUGUUGCCACCUUUUGCCAUGUGAAAACGCACAUUGAAGGGAGCAUCUUUACAAAAUGAUCCCUCACUAAACACUGAAUCUACUGGAGACUUGAUCUUGGAAUUUCCAGAUUUGUGAAUUUGCAUUUCACAAUCCAAAAACAGUAAUGCCCUUUGAAGAAAUACAGCUCUCAGUAACAGCACAGAGUCUGCUAGACUGUCCUGUCAAUGUCAGUGGGGUUGCCUAGAUUGAUUAUGGCCUGUUCCUUUGACAAGCACCUAAGGCCCCUGGAUUUCUCCAGGCACUCAUUAGUGUGACUGCUAAUCCCUCUCAAGGCCCUGAAGAUACUUCUUUAGAGAUCCAAAGAUAUUCAAGCUCUCUUUGUUCCUGCAUCUGAAGAAUGGGUUAAGAAUAGCACCUACCUUCGGACUGCUUUGAGAAUAAAGUAUUUAAUGUACAGCCCUCAGAAGUGUGCCUGCCUUAGAGCAGGCACCAUACAAUCCAUUGAGAGCUAUUGAAUAGAGCAAAAAGAUGAAGUAACGGUCUUCUGGAAAAUCUGUAUGCACAUAUA